rnacentral:rRNA from 1 species
UACAAAGGGGGCUAGCGUUGUUCGGAAUUACUGGGCGUAAAGCGCACGUAGGCGGAAUGUUAAGUCAGGGGUGAAAUCCCGGGGCUCAACCCCGGAACUGCCUUUGAUACUGGCAUUCUCGAGUCCGGAAGAGGUGAGUGGAAUUCCGAGUGUAGAGGUGAAAUUCGUAGAUAUUCGGAGGAACACCAGUGGCGAAGGCGGCUCACUGGUCCGGUACUGACGCUGAGGUGCGAAAGCGUGGGGAGCAAACGGG